rnacentral:tRNA from 1 species
GGUGGUGUAGCUCAGUUGGCUAGAGCGUUGGUCUCAUAGUUUGCCUAUGAUUUGGUCUAAGAUCAGAGUGAUCCAAAGGUCGAGAGUUCGAGCCUCUCCACCGCCA